ensembl:lncRNA
AGUCCACCUGAGAGUAUGUUUCAUGUAAUGAAAAAAGUAAAAGUUAAUAUGAGAUUCAGAAGAGUUUGAAUGUAAAAGUACAUAUUAAUAUAAAACUAAUAUGAUUUACCAUAAAAUGACAGAGAAAAACUGUGAAAUUGUUAGUAUGGACCUAAUGAGUAUAAUAAUAAAAUGAGCUAUAUAUUUAAUUUGCAGAUGAUGUCUGUAAUUUGUAGUUUUGUAUAUAAUUUAAAAAACGAUUAUUUUUAUUGACUUCAUCUACUCAGUGAUUUUGUUUGCCUGUAGGAGAGGAUUGGGUUCCUCCGGCAGCAGAUCCUGGACCAGAGGAGGGCGGUGGGGAGAGCCCUGAGGGCGUCUGCAGCACGGAGCCGAGCUGACGGAGGAGGUGGAGGAAGUCGCUUUCAGACUUUCCUGCUGUGGUAAAAACAGGAGUUCACAGGAGUCAGUGAUGAUGUCAUCAGUCAUCACUGAUGACAUCAUCAACUAGCAGAGCUUCACUUGGUCGUAUUGUGAUGUGUUCAGGUUGUGCUCAGUGAAAAUCAACUUAUCUGUGAUUAUUAUCUCGUUAAUGUAAGUUGAUGUUUUCACAUGAAUAUGGAAUCAACAUUAGAGAUGAAUUAUAACGUUUAACCUCCCGACCCUUUAAAAGCAUUAUGGGUAAUCGUGAAGAGGUGUGUCCCAGGUUACCUGGAGGGGCUCACCUGUCUCAUCUACUGGCUCGUCCUGCGCUCAGCUGUCUGUCCUGCGGGGAGACGGUGAGAGGGGACGACGUGGUCGCCUGUGACGUCCCGCGGUGUGCAGGCCUGUUCUGUCGGCCAUGUUUCCUGAGUCUGGAGAGCACGUGUGCCGUCUGCACGCGACCUCUGACCUCCGGUGAAGAGGGCGAAGAGGAGCUCGACUCCAGUGACGACGAGCAGCUGAACUCAGGAGCAGGAGGAAGUGACAUCAUAGACUCCGACUCCCAGCUGAGUGAAGCAGACAUGACGUACCAGGACCGACCCGGGUCGGACGACAGCGACGACUCCUUCCACUCCGCCUCCUCUCGACGGAGCAGCCCGCAGGACCCGAGCCUGCAGUCCGUCCUCGUGCACGCACCGGACUGA